GACAGAGGUGCCAAGCGUUAGGCGGAAUCACUGGGCUUAAAGCGUGUGUAGGUGGAUGCCUAAGUACCUUGUGAAAUCCCACGGCUUAACCGUGGAAUUGCUGGGCAUACUGGGUGUCUUGAGCCACUCAGGGGCUACCGGAACGAAAUGGGUGGAGCGGUGAAAUGCGUAGAUAUCAUUGGAACGCCAAUGGUGAAAACAGGUAGCUGGGGGUGUGCUGACACUGAGACACGGAAAGCCAGGGGAGGCAAACGGG
rnacentral:rRNA from 1 species